ensembl:lncRNA
GUUAAAUUUAAAAACACUGCUACUGUCACUGUCUUUAAUACAGUAUUUAUUGAUUUAAAAAUCUAAAAAAGCUUAAAGUUCAAGAUGUAUGUUUUAGGCAACUCUUAGAGAACGAGCUCAAAAAGAACAGCAAACAUAUGCUUGAAUAUCAUAAGGCUGUAUAUUUUAAUGCAGAUUGUCAACAUGAGCUCAGGGCAGGUCUAUGAUAGGGUAGUUUGGCCAUGUGACCACACACAUUUCCUUAACAGGAACCUAUUAUGUCCCAUUUUGUGUGUGUGUGUGUGUGUGUAUGUAUGUAUGUGUGUGUGUGUGUUACCUGUUAAACGCCUGAACAACAGACACGCAUGAGUUUUACCAUGUUCAAACUUCUGCUGCUCUUCUGGGUUUUCAAUUACAGUGAAACCAUCCCUAUACAUGUGAUGGGAAAAAAGGGAGGCAGCGUCAUCCUGCCAUGUGAAUUAAAGGCUAGAGAUAUUUUUCAUAUUCGUUUAAACAGACAAUCAAAAAACAUCCUUGUUUAUCAAAAUAAAUACUGCAGUAAAGGAGUAUGUAAAAAAGAAGCCUGUGAUGUCAUCAUCAAUGAUUUGAGCUUCAGUGAUGCUGGGAAAUACAUUUUGGAUAUCUAUUACAUUAAUGCUGAGUCAAUACUGGAUCCACAAAUCAGGACGUACCAACUUCAUAUUUACGGUUAAGUCAAAUCUGAUCAAACAUCAGCAUGUGCUUCAGGUUUUCCUUUAGUAGUAAUUGUGUGAUACUGCAUGUACUGUAAGCAGCAGAGACUCUGAAUGAGACAAACUUGAUAUUCAGAUUAGUCAUAUUUAAAUAUUAAUUUUUCCAAUGACUUUUAAAAAUGAUUACAAUACUCUUAUAACAA